rnacentral:rRNA from 1 species
GACGAACGCUGGCGGCGUGCUUAACACAUGCAAGUCGAGCGAUGAAGCACCUUCGGGUGUGAAUUAGCGGCGAACGGGUGAGGAACACGUGAAGAAUCUGCCUUCAACUCUGGGAUAACUCCGGGAAACCGGGGCUAAUACCGGAUAUGAGCCUUGAUCGCAUGAUCGGGGCUGGAAAGUCUUUCGGAAAGGGAUGGAGUCGAGGCCUACCAGCUUGGUGGUGAGGUAACGGCUCACCAAGGCGACGACGGGUAGCCGGCCUGAGAGGGCGACCGGCCACACUGGGACUGAGACACGGCCCAGACUCCUACGGGAGGCAGCAGUGGGGAAUAUUGCACAAUGGGCGAAAGCCUGAUGCAGCGACGCCGCGUGAGGGAUGAAGGUCUUCGGAUUGUAAACCUCUUUCAGUAGGGACGAAGCGAAAGUGACGGUACCUAAAGAAGAAGCACCGGCUAACUACGUGCCAGCCGCCGCCGUAA